CAAUCCUCCCUUUUUAAGUCAAAUUUUCUUCUUCCUCUGUCAUUUUAACGAGAGAGCCGACGAGAGAGAGGCAGAGAAUUCUGGAAACUUUCAUCUCUGUCCUUCUUCGUUCCAGCAUGUCCACCGACUUGGGUAUACAAUCACCAUGAUCGACUAAUGCUAAGGGUCCAUGCGUCGUCUUCUCCGUCUUGUUUCACAGCGUUCAUUAUUGUUGCUGCUGCAUUUGUGGGUGUGGCUAUGGCUGUGGGGGCAUCGAAAUUCUUCCUUCCAUGCUUCACAUCACCACUGUCGUCUCCCCUAUUUUGCGUCACAAAUUGCUCAACUUAGCUAGUCGUCCAACUUGUCUGUUCAUCGCCGUCGCUACUGGAGUUUUGUCCAUCCAUCAUUGCAGGUGGUUCCGGUAAUUAGAGUAGCCAAAAGGCAACUGAGAGAUGUUCAAAAGGAGUGAAUUUUCAUCUUGCUAGCUUUUCAGGUAAGUGGAUAGCGUCCCAACUGAUUUGUUUAAUCAAAAUUUCUUUUACCAGAAUAUUACGUUUUUCUGGAAAUCAUUUUAAUAGUAUUAAUGCGAUUAUUGGAUAUUUGUUUAUUAACAUUACUUUAUUUUGAGAAAUUAGCUUUAUCAAAUUUGAAAUAUUAUUUGAUCAAUUAAAUUAAGUUUGGACUUUGAUUAUGAGAUUUUUAUUUUAUCAAAUAUUAGAUUGAUAUAGAGAAUGAUUCAUGCGAGUUCGACUUUGAAAUUUUUGAUUAUUCAAUAAAUGCAAGCAUGAGCAUUGGAUAUGAAAUUUGCUUCUGGCAAGUUUUAAUGUUUAAAAGUAUUCAUGCGAGUUUGAUUUUGAGAAUGAGAACUGUAUCUUAAAAGUGAUGAUUUUCUCGCAUGUUUGAAAAUGGUUUUAAAAAGGGACUUUAUAUAGAACACUGGUUGUUAACGACAGUUCCAUUAGCCCUUGGCGCGCCAUGGUACACCUAGCUAGCAGGGUGUGUAUAGGAGGUGCUAGCCCCGUGCAAUGGCCAACGCACGUGAAACGGAGGGAUGGUUAUUCGUGAGCAUAGUACUCACGUUUGUUUCGUGGCUUCAAGCUGCGUUUGGUUAGCAAUACCCUCGUGGACUGUGUGUUCAUGUUUGUUUCGUGGCUUCGGCUGCGUUUGGUUACUUACCCUCGUGGACUGGUGUGUCCACGUUUGUCUUUGUGGCAUAAGCCGCGUUUGGUUAUUUAUUCCCGUGGACUGUGUGUCCACGUUUGUUAUUUGUUCUGAUAAGUCCCUAUAAUUAUGAGUUUAUAAUUAUUUUAUGCAAUUAUUUGCUUUAUUGGAAGUACAUGAUAAUGACAUUUAAUAUGAUAUUUUAAUGAAUCAAGAAUUUAUUUAAAGUUACAUAAGUCCUUUUUGACGAAGUUUAUUAUAUAUUUGUUUGCACAAAAUUUUUAUUUCUAACACACAUAAUUAUGUUAAACUUUCUUUUUAUACAUAUUUAGUUAUUUAUUGUUGGGAUGCUAUUCACUGGAAACUUAUUUGGUCUCAGAUUUGUUAACGGGCACUGAUCCUACUGUUGACAUUUAAAAGGGCGAAAAAUUGAUCUGGGUGGUGGCAUUUCACUUUAUCUCCUUUUGACAUAAACAUUUGAACUGAUGUAUUUUAUUUUGAAAGUAAGGUUAGUUAGCUCCAUAUAGCUUAUAGCUAAAUUUCUAUUAUGGUAUAUGUCGUUUGCUGGUUGGAAGGAGUUGAGUUCCUGAUUAAUAUUAUAUUUUGUGUAAAAUAUUGACAGAAAAAAAAAUUUUGGAAGAUCCUAAUUACUAGGAAGAUUCUAUUGAAAUUUCAGUACAAAUUCAACUAUGUUUAAAAAAAACAGAGAAGAUUUCUCAAUUUAGGGCUUAAGGGAUGUGUGAUAUGGUCCACAUCCUGUGCCGGUCAACCUCUAUUUUUGGGGUGUGACAAAGUACAUGGUGGCACAAUUUGUACUGCCAAAUGAUGACAUGUAUUGAAAAGAGGUUGUUGAGAUCAUUGACUUUGACAUUAUCAAUACUGUCUUAAUGCGCAAUGAGGUCAUCUACAGACCAAUCAACAUUUAUAUGAGGUACUUGUACGAUACCUUCAUCAUCCCUAGUAACUUGGGAUUGAGGUUUAUGUUUGUCAAUCCCUAUAAGUUCCCAAGUUUUGAAGGUAAUCAGAAGGAUAAGCAUUUGCAAUAGCAAUCUUAAACAUCAACUACGUAUUUCAAGGAAAGAUCAGCUUCAAAAGGGAUGUUGUUUUUUAUUCCUUAUCUGAAUGGCCCCAAUUGUAGGUUCGGUAUUAAGUUAGGCUACCCAGGCAUCAAAAGGAGAAGAAAAUGGAGGGUUAAUAUUGCUGUGCCACACAUUGUGGCAUGAAGAGCAUCUGCUGUAAUGGACAAACACUUCAAAUGUGAAAUGAAGACCUUUCUGUGCCAUGUGCCACGGUGCAUUCUGCGUUUGCCGUGGUGCAUGGUCAUUUUCUACAGUUUAUCAGUCUCAAAAUUAAGACAGAAAUGGAAAGGAGAAAAAGGGGAAAAUGGAGAGACGUGCCAAGUUCUACUAGGGUUCACUCUUGGAUGACAUUAGGAGUAUUUUAAAAGCUACAAACACCCAAGCCUUAGAAGUGGGUCUGGAAUAAUGGUGGGCUACCCAGGCAAGGAAAGGGAAAGAAAAAGUGAAGAAUUAUCCUCUAUGCUAGAUGCCGCAGCACAUGGUCAGUCUGUUGCAGUGCACAGAGACAAAUUUGACUAACAGGCUCCUUUGUGCCAUGCACCGCGGUGGAAGGCAGCGUGCAUUGCAGUACAUAGGCAAAAUUUUUAAUAAAUCAAAUCGCAUCUAUGUGAGAAAACAAAAGAGAGAAGAGGAAGAAAAUGAAGAGAACGUCAGGGUUCUACUAAGGCAUGCUUAUUAGCUCCCAUUAUUGACAUUUCAAAGCUCUUAA